GACAGAGGGUGCAAACGUUGCUCGGAAUUACUGGGCGUAAAGGGCGUGUAGGCGGGAAGGCAAGUCGGGCGUGAAAGCCCCAGGCUCAACCUGGGAACUGCACUCGAAACUGCCUUUCUUGAGUGCCGGAGAGGAAAGCGGAAUUCCUGGUGUAGAGGUGAAAUUCGUAGGAUAAUCAGGAGGAACACCAGUGGCGAAGGCGGCUUUCUGGACGGUAACUGACGCUGAGACGCGAAAGCGUGGGGAGCAAACAGG
rnacentral:rRNA from 1 species